UACGGAGGGGGCGAGCGUUAUUCGGAAUUAUUGGGCGUAGAGGGCGCGUAGGCGGCUUGAUGUGUCAAAGGUGAAAUCCCUCGGCUCAACUGAGGAACUGCCUUUGAAACUGUCUGGCUUGAGGCCGGGAGAGGGUAGCGGAAUUCCCAGUGUAGCGGUGAAAUGCGUAGAUACUGGGAGGAACACCGGUGGCGAAGGCGGCUACCUGGACCGGUUCUGACGCUGAUGCGCGAAAGCGUGGGUAGCAAACAGG
rnacentral:rRNA from 1 species